UUGAACGCUGGCGGAAUGCUUUACACAUGCAAGUCGAGCGGCAGCGCGGGGCAACCUGGCGGCGAGCGGCGAACGGGUGAGUAAUAUAUCGGAACGUACCCUGUCGUGGGGGAUAACACAUCGAAAGAUGUGCUAAUACCGCAUACGACCUGAGGGUGAAAGCGGGGGAUCGCAAGACCUCGCGCGAUAGGAGCGGCCGAUAUCGGAUUAGCUAGUUGGUGAGGUAAAGGCUCACCAAGGCGACGAUCCGUAGCUGGUCUGAGAGGAUGAUCAGCCACACUGGGACUGAGACACGGCCCAGACUCCUACGGGAGGCAGCAGUGGGGAAUUUUGGACAAUGGGCGCAAGCCUGAUCCAGCCAUGCCGCGUGAGUGAAGAAGGCCUUCGGGUUGUAAAGCUCUUUCGGCGGGGAAGAAAUCGCACGGGUUAAUACCUCGUGUGGAUGACGGUACCCGGAUAAGAAGCACCGGCUAACUACGU
rnacentral:rRNA from 1 species